AGGCAGCAGGCGCGCAAAUUACCCACUCCCGACACGGGGAGGUAGUGACGAAAAAUAACAAUACGGGACUCUUUCGAGGCCCCGUAAUUGGAAUGAGUACACUUUAAAUCCUUUAACGAGGAUCAAUUGGAGGGCAAGUCUGGUGCCAGCAGCCGCGGUAAUUCCAGCUCCAAUAGCGUAUAUUAAAGUUGCUGCAGUUAAAAAGCUCGUAGUUGGAUCUCGGGUGCAGGCUUGCGGUCCGUCUCGCGGCGGUCACUGCUCGUCCUGGCCUCCACGCCGGCGCACCGUCCCUUGGUGCUCUUGACUGAGUGUCUCGGGCGGCCGGAACGUUUACUUUGAAGAAAUUAGAGUGCUCAAAGCAGGCCUUUGCCGCCCGCAUAAUGGUGCAUGGAAUAAUGGAAUAGGACCUCGGUUCUAUUUUGUUGGUUUUCGGAGCUCGAGGUAAUGAUUAAUAGGGACUGACGGGGGCAUUCGUAUUGCGGCGCUAGAGGUGAAAUUCUUGGACCGUCGCAAGACGAACCACAGCGAAAGCAUUUGCCAAGCAUGUUUUCAUUAAUCAAGAACGAAAGUCAGAGGUUCGAAGACGAUCAGAUACCGUCGUAGUUCUGACCAUAAACGAUGCCAACUGUCGAUCCGCCGGAGUUGCUUCAAUGACUCGGCGGGCAGCCUCCGGGAAACCAAAGUUUCUGGGUUCCGGGGGGAGUAUGGUUGCAAAGCUGAAACUUAAAGGAAUUGACGGAAGGGCACCACCAGGAGUGGAGCCUGUGGCUUAAUUUGACUCAACACGGGGAACCUCACCCGGCCCGGACAC
rnacentral:rRNA from 1 species